rnacentral:ncRNA from 1 species
CACGGAAAGGAUUGACAGAUUGAUAGCUCAGCUCUUUCUCAGUUCUGUGGGUGGUGGUGCAUGGCCAUUCUUAGUUGGUGGAGCAGUUUGUCUGCUUAAUUUCAAUAACGUGUGAGACUCCUCCAUGCUAACUAGUUACAUUCAAAUUCUUAGAGGGGAAAGUGCCAUGCAUGUUGGCCGGGCAGAGGAGGGAAGGGGGGAGUCCCUGUCUGUCCU